GAUGAACGCUGGCGGCGUGCUUAACACAUGCAAGUCGAACGAAGCAUUUAGGACAGCUUACUUCGGUUUGAAGUUCUUUAUGACUGAGUGGCGGACGGGUGAGUAACGCGUGGGUAACCUGCCUUGUACUGGGGGAUAGCAGCUGGAAACGGCUGGUAAUACCGCAUAAGCGCACAAUGUUGCAUGACUUGGUGUGAAAAACUCCGGUGGUAUAAGAUGGACCCGCGUCUGAUUAGCUAGUUGGUGAGAUAACAGCCCACCAAGGCGACGAUCCGUAGCCGACCUGAGAGAGUGACCGGCCACAUUGGGACUGAGACACAGCCCAGACUCCUGCGGGAAGCAGCAGUGGGGAAUAUUGCACAAUGGAGGAAACGCUGAUGCAGCGACGCCGCGUGAGUGAAGAAGUAAUUCGUGAUGUAAAGCUCUAUCAGCAGGGAAGAUAGUGACGGUACCUGACGAAGAAGCUCCGGCUAAAUACGUG
rnacentral:rRNA from 1 species